GAUCAUGGCUCAGGAUGAACGCUAGCUACAGGCUUAACACAUGCAAGUCGAGGGGCAGCAUUGGGGUAGCAAUACUCAGAUGGCGACCGGCGCACGGGUGAGUAACACGUAUCCAACCUGCCGCUUACUCGGGGAUAGCCUUUCGAAAGAAAGAUUAAUACCCGAUGGUAUAAAGAGUUCGCAUGUUCUCUUUAUUAAAGAAUUUCGGUAAGCGAUGGGGAUGCGUUCCAUUAGAUAGUUGGCGGGGUAACGGCCCACCAAGUCUACGAUGGAUAGGGGUUCUGAGAGGAAGGUCCCCCACAUUGGAACUGAGACACGGUCCAAACUCCUACGGGAGGCAGCAGUGAGGAAUAUUGGUCAAUGGACGAGAGUCUGAACCAGCCAAAAGUAGCGUGAAGGAUGACUGCCCUAUGGGUUGUAAACUUCUUUUAUAAGGGAAUAAAGUGAGGGACGUGUCCCUUUUUGUAUGUACCUUAUGAAUAAGGAUCGGCUAACUCCGUGCCAGCCGCCGC
rnacentral:rRNA from 1 species